rnacentral:rRNA from 1 species
UACAGAGGUCUCGAGCGUUGUUCGGAUUCAUUGGGCGUAAAGGGCGUGUAGGCGGGCGGGGUAAGUCUGGAUGUGAAAGUCUCGGAGCUCAACUCCGAAAUUGCAACUGGAAUACUGCUCUGCUAGAGGGCUGGAGAGGAGGAUCGGAAUUCACGGUGUAGCAGGUGAAAUGCGUAGAUAUCGUGAGGAAGACCAGUGGCGGAAGGCGGAUCUCUGGACAGCUCCUGACGCUGAGGCGCGAAAGCCAGGGGAGCGAA